rnacentral:rRNA from 1 species
UACGGGGGGGGCAAGCGUUGUUCGGAAUUACUGGGCGUAAAGGGCUCGUAGGUUGCCAACUAAGUCAGACGUGAAAUCCCUCGGCUUAACCGGGGAACUGCAUCUGAUACUGGAUGGCUUGAGUUCGGGAGAGGGAUGCGGAAUUCCAGGUGUAGCGGUGAAAUGCGUAGAUAUCUGGAGGAACACCGGUGGCGAAGGCGGCAUCCUGGACCGACACUGACGCUGAGGAGCGAAAGCCAGGGGAGCAAACGGG